rnacentral:tRNA from 1 species
GGGCUGGUGGCGGAAUUGGUAGACGCGACGGACUUAAAAUCCGUUGGUCGCAAGGCCUUGCGGGUUCGAGUCCCGCCCUGCCCA